UCUUGCUAACUAAAACCUUUGUACUUGAAGCCUGGGAGCUCUUCAGUGCAAGACACGCGUGAAGACAUGAAACAAAAGCAACCAAUUAAUACCAGCUCUCAGCACAGACAUGAUCACCAGAAUGUUGAAGCUUCUUAUCCUGAAGAGUGGGGUGGCAUUCCGUCAAAAGAGCUACAAGAGGCAAUAAUGCUGGAAAAGGCACUCUUUAGUGGAGUAGCUAA